CAACUGGGUCAACUGUACCAAUCAUUCACAGUGAGGUUAUUAACAUUCUUCAAGACAUGACCAACAGAAAACUGUUGCUAUGAACAAAAGAGAACAAAAACAGCAAAAAAUGCUUAAAAGUUUGAAAUUUGUUUUUAAACAGUUAAAAGGCAAGAGACUGAAAUAAAUAAGACUUCACUCAACACAAGAGAAGAUGAGACAAUGAGGAAAAAAAGAAAAGAGAAACUGACAAGAAAAAAAGAAGAGGAAAGAUUGAAGAAAAUGUACAUAGUUCCACGAUAAAGUUUGAUGCAGCUCUGUUUUUCUGAAUGGACCGUCUUCAUCUCCACUGCAAGUACAGCAACCCAAGCAGAUGUUCUUUGAUUGUAUGUCUCACAAUUUUGUAAUCUAUCAUUGUUAAUUAAACUCUGAGAGCUGUG